UGGGGAAUAUUGCACAAUGGGCGCAAGCCUGAUGCAGCCAUGCCGCGUGUGUGAAGAAGGCCUUCGGGUUGUAAAGCACUUUCAGCGGGGAGGAAGGCGGUGAGGUUAAUAACCUCACCGAUUGACGUCACCCGCAGAAGAAGCACCGGCUAACUCCGUGCCAGCAGCCGCGGUAAUACGGAGGGUGCAAGCGUUAAUCGGAAUUACUGGGCGGAAAGCGCACGCAGGCGGUCUGUCAAGUCGGAUGUGAAAUCCCCGGGCUCAACCUGGGAACUGCGUUCGAAACUGGCAAGCUAGAGUAUUGUAGAGGGGGGUAGAAUUCCAGGUGUAGCGGUGAAAUGCGUAGAGAUCUGGAGAAAUACCGGUGGCGAAGGCGGCCCCCUGGACAAAGACUGACGCUCAGGUGCGAAAGCGUGGGGAGCAAACAGG
rnacentral:rRNA from 1 species